rnacentral:antisense_RNA from 1 species
CAGAUUCAGAGCCCCAGCCUGUUCAUAAAAAAAAUCAGAUGAAUUUUGUCUGCGGAACAUUCUGCAAAAAUAUCUGACCAGGAAAGAUAAAUAUGCAAAAAGUCACACACACAGGAAAUGAUUAAUACAAUUUUAUGGCAUCAAAAGAUACCAUUGAUAAAGUAAAACACAAGUCACGAACUAGGGGAAAGAAGAUGAGGUAGCAUCCAAAAUACAUGAAGAAAUCUUGUAAGUCUAUUAAAAGACUAUACGACCUAACAGAAAGAAGCAGCAAAAGCCAUGAAAAGAGCUGGGGAUUGUGGUAUGUGCCUUUAGUCCUAGCUACUCCGGAGGCUGAGGCAGGAGGAUCACUUGAGCCCAGGACUUUGAGGCCGCUGUAAGCUAUGAUCAUGCCACUGCACUCCAGCUCAGGCAACAGUGAGACCCGGUCUCAACAAACAAAAGAAAAUAAAAGAAUGGUAGACAAGGAAAGCAGUUGAACAGCUAUGUGAGAAGCCUACUUUCUCUUCAUGUAACACGUUGGCCUAAGAGAUCUAUAGAGCUUUUUAAAAACAAAGAAGGCAGCAAGAUUUAAAAUAAUAAAACCAGCAAUAGGUAUUUUUAAAAGUGAGAGAAACUAUCAGAGAGCUGUAGCAGAAAAGCAAGUUAAAAAUAAAGGAAACAGAAAAGGAACUGAUACAGCUGAUUUGAUACUAGAAAAAUCACCCAGGAGGCGGCGUGGAG